rnacentral:misc_RNA from 1 species
AAAAAAAAAAGAGGACUGACAGGCUGAAAGAUCUAUGUUGUAAGGAGAAUUAGGAUGCAGCAUAGAUCUAAAUGUCUUCCAGUACUGGGAAGCAAUUGUGUUUUGCCCUUGUCGUUUGUAAUGCACUUUCAUUCCCUAUGGAGUGGCUUGAAUCUAAAUUUAUUGCUUUUGAACUGACACAAUUAAUAGCUUGUUUCUGUUUUUCUAAGCCAUUUUCAUCUAUCUGUAUUCCUUCAUUUUCUAUGGUUCA